UUAACCUCUAUACUGGAGCCAUCAGUUGUCUCUGUAUAUAAUCUCAUUAUGGGCUCCACAAUACUUUUCCAAUCAAGAUCAUUGGCAACAGAAUGGGUUUCCCACUCAGAGGUUUUAUUCCACCUCAUGAAGUAUCCAUGUUCAGCUGCUAUUCCUAAUCUCUCACAAGGGUCAAGCCAGCCACUCAAUGAAUUUUUCCCUCUCCCACUGACAAUAAACACACUGUUAUUUUGGUCAUUGCACAGAGCUUUUAGAACAGAGAUGACUUCAGAGCUGGGGCUUUUAACGAUAGAAGUCUGUGGUACAACAGUACCAUCAUAGUCCAGAAAUAUUGCUCUUCUAUUUGUCCUUUUAUAAGCUGAGACAAUGUGUUCAAUACACAACCUCCUGAAGCUAGGAGAAAGAGACACGACCCUGAAUCCCAGGCCAAA
rnacentral:misc_RNA from 1 species